ACCAGACUCCUACGGGAGGCAGCAGUGGGGAAUAUUGCACAAUGGGGGAAACCCUGAUGCAGCAACGCCGCGUGAGUGAAGAAGUAUUUCGGUAUGUAAAGCUCUAUCAGCAGGGAAGAAGAUGACGGUACCUGAGUAAGAAGCCCCGGCUAACUACGUGCCAGCAGCCGCGGUAAUACGUAGGGGGCAAGCGUUAUCCGGAUUUACUGGGUGUAAAGGGAGCGUAGACGGUGAGACAAGUCUGAAGUGAAAGCCCGGGGCUUAACCAUGGAACUGCUUUGGAAACUGUGCAGCUGGAGUGCAGGAGAGGUAAGCGGAAUUCCUAGUGUAGCGGUGAAAUGCGUAGAUAUUAGGAGGAACACCAGUGGCGAAGGCGGCUUACUGGACUGUAACUGACGUUGAGGCUCGAAAGCGUGGGGAGCAAACAGGAUUAGAUACCCUAGUACCA
rnacentral:rRNA from 1 species